GAUAACAAUUAUUUAUUUAGAGAAAAUAAAUUACAUAGUAAGUCAUAAAUUCAGUCCAACAACUGGACUCAGCCUCCACUUAAAUAUAAUCCAUAAUCUAAUGUCAAAAACAAUUUUAGAGUUAAACCAAAGAAUCAGAAAGAAUUAUUGGCUGUAAUGACCAUCAAAAGAUAUAUUUACUUCUAACAAGAAUAUAUGGCCAGCUGAUUGUUAAUAAAACGGAAAAAAAUAAGGUAAGGAGGACGAGAAGCAUUAGAGCUUUCCAAUGUCUUCUGCAUCCUGGGCAUGUUAUUUUUCUCAGUUCAACACACGUUUGAAGACCUAUUAUAUUCUAAGCACUAUGCUAGGUUCUGUAGACACAAAAAUGAUUAACUCUAUUGUCAAAGGGCUUAGAAUCACUUGUCUCUGAGGUUGAAGGCAUUAUUCUCACUCUUCAUAUACAGAAAACUGCAACUACGAGAAGUUUAUUGCUGGCGUUAAAAAGUGGCCCGGGGAGCUGGCUUUAAAACUAAGUGUUUCUGACUCAAAGAGACAUUAGCCAAAGAUGUCUUACCGGUUGAGAAUCACUUAGGAUGCUAGUUAAAAAUACAGAUUCUCAGGUCCCUCUCCCUAGACACAGUGUUUCAAAAGAUCUGAAAUGAAGUCCAAGGAAUCUCUGCUUUUGCAAAUUAUCACAGGGGAUAUUCAUAAUCAGGUGAAAUUUGUUAAGAACACCACACACCUCACUGAAACGAAGUUUAAGCAAGUCUCUCAGACCAAGGUACAGGCAACUUUUUGUUUUCUUAAACUCUCUGGAGGGCGCAGAGUCACCUCCAAAAGUCCCAAAUGAAUCCCUUCACCCAGAGCAAAGAAGAAUUUCUUCACCACAUUUAAGUUUUUAAGAUUUGACUUUUCCAGUUUUUGCCAAUCCUCAGAGAUCCAAACUAUUGUGGACUUAUGCAAUUCUCUGGCAUCACGACAAGACAGCAUCAAAAAACAACAGAGCACCACCCUUUCCCUCGUCUUCCUUCAGGUGCUGAUUCAUUUUGGAUGUGCAUCGCUAGGAAAAAGGGCUGCUGAAUAUAAAUCGCAAAAUUUCAAUGCUGGAUGACAACUUCUACACCCAUGAAGUUACACAGCUAGUUAAUGGCGGGGCCAAGACCAGAAUCUACACUUGCAGAACCUCUGCUCUGAGCUUUUCCCUACUCAAACUGACCUGUCCUGAAAGCGUAAGGGUGGCCUGGCCGCGCGUGUGGGACCGACCCGAGGAGGGACGAGAGACAGCAAAGAAGGCUGUGGUUCCUGCCCGGGAGGCGGGGGCUGCAGAUUCCCGUCAGCUGCGCGUUUGCCUGGCCCUCACUUGGCAAAGGACAGCGAAUGCAAAUGAGGAUGACUGUUAGGAAUUUUUAACGAGUGUAGAGAGAGGUGUCAAGAGGAAGCCGCGAGAGAGGAGAGGACAGGGACGCCUUCUCCCGUAGGCACAAAUCCGGAGAGGACAACCAGGUCCGCGAGUGGCAAUACGGGAGACCCCACGCGCCCCCAGCCUCGAGGUUCCUGAGCACCCAUUCCGCCCCGGCCCGGCGUCCCAGUCUCAGCACAAAGACCGCACAGGGCGAAGUUGCCGUCGGGUCCUCCGGCCCGAGUCCCCUUCUUGGCGCCCCCGCCGCACCCCCCGCUAAACUUACCGGCAGACCCAAUGGUUCUUCGACGCUGGAACAGCGGGAACAAGCAACACCCAACCACCCGAGAGCGACCCCAGCUGACCAGUGGAGCGCGAAUCCCACGGACCCGGAUGCAGAUAAAGGCGCAGGAAGGAACCGCGGCGUGGCUGGCGGGCGCUGCGCAUGCGCACCGCCUUUAGGACGCCUGAGGCUGUUUUGGCUAUCCUGGAUACCUUGCAUUUCCAUGUGAAUUUUAGGAUCAGCUUGACCAUUUCUGGAAAAAAAAAGGCCAUUGGAAUUUUAUAGUAAUUAUGCUGAAUAUAUCGAUCAAUUGAGAGGUGCUGUCCUGAUAAAAAUAUAUUGCAAAUGCCUAAGGUACAAGGCGAGAUAUUAAGGCUUCAGUUAAGACAACGACUUUUGAGAAGAGUGGAGAAUGAAAAUGGAAAUAGAGGAGACACUACUGAGGUUACGAGAGAGAGAGAGAGGAAAGUGAAAGCGGGAAAAGUUGCUAAUAAUACUGAUAUGCUCACCGUUCUUAAGCUUUAUUUCAAUUUUUUUUCUUUAGAAAUAUGUAAAGAGAAAACAUAUUCUUGGUUCCUGAUAACGAUUGCCAAAUUAUUUCUCAAAGAGCUUCUCAAUGACAUUGCUAUCAACAUGAAAUGAGAAUAAUGGAUUCCUGAAAAUAUUAGCAGCUUCUGUGUGUUACACAGCAUUUUCAUGAAUCUAAUAGAAUCAGUAAUGGUGUUACAGUAGGUAGUUGGUCACACAUGAUCAGGGCAAGGAGGGCUCCUUGCAUCCCACCAGAAAUGUCAGCUGAACAUCAGAUGACGGUCAGGCAGUUGUUAGCGGUCUCUCUAAAAUAAUAGUUGGGCACAUCCAGCGCCAGGGAAAGGUAGUCUCCCAAUAGAUAGAAAUACCUGAAACUGGUGAUCAGCUUCCUGAUAAGGUCUCAAGAGUUGGGUGACUGGGCUCGAGCAUGAACACUAAGAGGAAAAAUGGCAAAGUUUAACUGGUGUAUGAAUUCCCCUAGGAACACUCAACUGGUAUGAGAAAAAUGCCUGAAGUGAGCACAUGCACAAUUCCAGUAAACACACUGAGCAUGCAGCCACUCCCAAGAGCUGGCAGGCCACUGCACAUACAAAUAGGCCACCCCAAGGGAAGAAUUGGGAGAAGGGAUGAAAGACCUCAGAAGUAUGCCAACAUGUAAAACUCCAAGUCAAAGAUCAAACAGGGCACUUGAUCUCUCAAGUUGCCUGCUUGGCCCUCUUCCAGAUGAGUAAUUGCAUCUCCAUACCAGAGGAUUUGCCCCUUGGAUUAUUCCCAAAAACUGGAAAAAGUUUGAUUCUCCUAAACCUUAAAAAAAAAAACAAAAACUAGUUUUACUUUGUAAUACUGUUUGACCUAAAAAUGAACUGGGUGAAAAUACAAACAUCAGCCUGAGACCCCAGUAACCUUAUGCAGGAAAUUCUCAAAUUAGCCUCUUCAGUCUUUUACAACUGAGAGCAGAAUAAAGAGGACAGAGGGAAAAAGAAGAACAAACACAAAAAUAAGAGGCAGGCUCAACUAUUGGCUGCUUUACAAGCUCUCCAGUCCCCUCCAGGUCUCCUAAGGACACUCCUCCAGGACUCUCAUGGCAACACAUAGUACAAACCAUGACUUCCUGACAGAAAGGGAAAUGACUUCUGUCUAAUUCAAAGAAUAUUAAGGUUUCUGAUUUGAAGAUUGUGACAUGAGAAUAGAGGAAAAACUUUCAGGACACUUAAGGAGAGCUGAAAUGUUCAUGAAUAUUAAGCAGAGCAUAAGUCAACUGUAUGGACUGACCUAAUAGAAGACUGAAAUAAUUCUUCUAUUUACACCUUUUAACAAUCGAGUAAAGUAUACUCCUGUAAACAAAAUUUGGAGCAUAUUUGUUUCUCUCUACCUGAUUUCUCUAGAAUUAGGAAACUAUGAAUAUUCUUAACAUGUGAAUAUAGUUAUUUGCAUAAGUGCAGUAAGAAUCUGUUUUCUUUUGCAACAGGACACAAUUGGAAACUGGUUGUUUUACCAAGACUUUGUAAAGCUUGCUAACUGGAAUUUGUGCUUUCCUUUAAGGAAUCAUAUUUGACUUAUAGAUCCAAUAAAAGCCCUUUGGGAAAACUGGCUUCAUACCUACUCUACACAGUUCCUGUACAGGAUUCCUGACCUGUGGCCAUCAAGCACCAGAUAAUCCUCAGUGAGUGAUACAUCCCCUUAAUAUUCAAAAGCCACCCUUCUGUAGGGGGCCGAUAGAAUGCCCCAUCAGUGGGACAAGACAGAGGUGAAAUCCUGCCCCUCUCUCCCUUGGACCUGGCUAGAUACUGCUUUUACCAUCCCAUGGAGUCACACUGCCCUGACAGGGUCAUCGAUCUUCUCCUGUCUACAAACAUUGGCUCUCCUCAUUCUUGGGCCUUAGAUUCGAACCAUAACUUACACCAUCAGAUCCCUGGUUCUCAGGUCUUCAGGCUUGGUCUGAAACUAUACCACUGGCUUUCAUGGCCUACCAGCUUGCAGAUGGCAGAUAGUGGAACAUCUCAGCCUCCGUAAUUGUUCAACCCAAUUCCUAAUAAAUGAAUAUAUUCCUCUAU